rnacentral:tRNA from 1 species
UAGCUCAGUAGGUAGAGCAUGGUGUUUGCAACGCCAGGGUUGUGGGUUUGAUUCCCAC